UGGGCCUAAUCUCAACCAACACCCAGCCUGGAGCUCCAGACACCCAGGGCCCUGCCAGUCCCUCUCACCCGGGAAGGGCCUCCAUCCCCGGGCCUAUAUUUAACCAACACCCAGCCUGGAGCUCCAGACCCAGGGCCCUUCCCGGUCCCUCUCACCCGGGAAGGGCCUCCAUCCCUGGGCCUAAUCUCAACCAAUACCCAGCCUACCAAUCCUCCAGCCUGGAGCUCCAAGAUGGCAUUUUGCUAUUUAAGAAGAUUUGCUGAUGCACCCAGAUGGCAAUGGUCUUCACAAAACUCAGUUCCUAUAAACCUGCGGAAGGGGUUUUUUGGUGUAAGGCCCAGGAUGAUCCAAGAUGGCAGCUUAAAAACUAUACAAGUUACUUUUGUAACCUUUUUUUAUUCAGUGGAGUUCAUGGAGAAGUACUGGUUACACUUGAUGGGGUCCAUUGGGUCCAAAAAACACGUGGAAAACCAGAAGUCUAAAUUGGGACGGGUAAUGUCCUUCCUUAGAUUUCUGAACAAGGGAAGGACAGUACUCCCCAAUUGGACUUUUCUGCAGGACAUUGAUCGAGUUCACCAGUGGCCAGCGAAGCUCCUCAGAGAGGGGAAGGCAGAAAACACCACUAGGAAUUACCUCCUGAAUGUGGUGGAGUUCGCAGGUUACUUUCGGGACACGCCACCAACCACCUCGCCUGUGUCCGCUGAUAUUAAACAGCUUAAAAAAGAGGUCAACGUCCGCCAGAUGUUGGUCAAAAAGCGUAAGAUCAGAAGGGUGAUUGCCAAGGAGGACCUCAGGAGGUCUCAGAGGCAGGCGUGCCGGAAAAUCCCCCAACUGCUCGACACCAUCCAGACUGACCACAGCUCACUGAACAUACGCCGGUUCUAUGGCUACUUUAGCGUAUACCUCGUCAGUAUAUAUGGCCAUAGAACCGGCGUAUUGACCAACAUGACCCUGGCCGAAGUGGACGAGGCGCGAGUUGACGCCAGGACCGCAGAGCAGGGCUUUGUCAUAAAUUUAAGCAUAAUGAUGUUGUGCCUGCCAUUUAAGAUCGUUUACAGAUGAUCUUAAAUGGUAGACAUGAAGCUGUUAUUUAGGAUAAUUCACAGAUGACCCUGCAUGGCAGGCAACUUACCCUCUCCUUUGGAACUACAGGUAAAGGAGCACAAAACAAAUCGGGCUUUUGGGCCGGCCCAAGUGUACCUCACAGUGGAGGAGUUUGGAUGGCUGGAACAGUGGCUCCAAAUAAGGGAAACCCUUCAGCCAUCCACUGACCUGGUUUUUUUCAACGAAAACUACCAGAAGAUCCAGAACCUACAACAACACCUCCAGAGCGCAUGGGCAGAAAUGGGGUUCUCAGGUUCCCCCACAUUUACAGACUUUAGAACCUCAAUAACAACAUAUGCUGGAGAUGCAUUGUCCCCGGGAACCCGGACGAAGGUCAGCAAAAUGAUGUGCCAUGAUACUGCCCUAGCAGAGAAAUUCUAUGCCAUGCACCAGACAGCUCAACAGCUGUCUGAGCUGCGUAAAAGGUUUCAGGAGGCUACGGACCCGGUAGUCUCAGGUCCCGGGAAAGUGGCGGAGCCUGUCAUCCUGGAGUCUUCCAGCGACGAGGGAGAAGGCGAGGGUCCUGUGAAGAAGAAGAGGAGAGUAGCACCCAGGGUUGGUUCCAGAGUCCACGGAGGCCCAGGCAGAGUCCACGGAGGCCCAGGCAGAGUCCACGGAGGCCCAGGCAGAGUCCCCGGAGGCCCAGGAUGAGUCCCCGGAGGCCCAGGAUGAGUCCCAGGACGAGUCCCAGGACGAGUCCCAGGACACACAGAGGAAAAUGGGCCGACAAAGUCUGUCAUUCACACCAAAAAGAAGCCCCUUAAUGCUAUACAGGUUGCGGGAGCGACAGCGGCGGAGCACACCGCGUGUGUUUCGCCUGAGGGCCAGACAAAGAAAGUUCCAAUAAUUAUUUAUUUAUUGUUCUUUGUCCGUCCGUCCGUCUUCUUCCGCUUAUCCGGGGUCGGGUCGCGGGGGU